rnacentral:rRNA from 1 species
GACGAACGCUGGCGGCGUGCUUAACACAUGCAAGUCGAGCGGUAAGGCCCUUUCGGGGGUACACGAGCGGCGAACGGGUGAGUAACACGUGGGUGACCUGCCCUCAGCUCUGGGAUAAGCCUGGGAAACCGGGUCUAAUACCGGAUAUGACUCCAUGACGCAUGUUGUGGGGUGGAAAGCCUUGUGCGGCUGAGGAUGGGCCCGCGGCCUAUCAGCUUGUUGGUGGGGNGAUGGCCUACCAAGGCGACGACGGGUAGCCGGCCUGAGAGGGCGACCGGCCACACUGGGACUGAGACACGGCCCAGACUCCUACGGGAGGCAGCAGUGGGAAUCUUGCGCAAUGGGCGAAAGCCUGACGCAGCGACGCCGCGUGAGGGAUGACGGCCU